AACGAACGCUGGCGGCAUGCCUAACACAUGCAAGUCGAACGAGACCUUCGGGUCUAGUGGCGCACGGGUGCGUAACGCGUGGGAACCUGCCCUUAGGUUCGGAAUAACUCCCCGAAAGGGGUGCUAAUACCGGAUAAUGUCUUCGGACCAAAGAUUUAUCGCCUUUGGAUGGGCCCGCGUUGGAUUAGCUAGUUGGUAGGGUAAAAGCCUACCAAGGCGACGAUCCAUAGCUGGUCUGAGAGGAUGAUCAGCCACACUGGGACUGAGACACGGCCCAGACUCCUACGGGAGGCAGCAGUGGGGAAUAUUGGACAAUGGGCGAAAGCCUGACCAAGCAAUGCCGCGUGAGUGAUGAAGGCCUUAGGGUUGUAAAGCUCUUUUACACGGGAUGAUAAUGACAGUACCGGGAGAAUAAGCUCCGGCUAACUCCGUG
rnacentral:rRNA from 1 species